AAGAGGAGUUUCGGGAAACGCUCCAAAGAAAUUCAUGAUGGUUCGCAAGAUCCAUCGUGAGAAUGAUCGUACGAGCGAAGAUCCAUCGUUAUCGGGAAACGAGGCCCAGGAUAUCUUUUGGAGGCGAUCUCCAAAGGUGUAAAUAACAACAAUAUCCUCCGGUCAACUGUUAUUAACGUGAGCUCCUACACAAAUUAAAUGACAGAAAUAUGUUGGCGAACUGCACAAUAAGUUUAAGCUAGCAGAACUUUCUGUGACCACAGUGUAGCUCACCUCUCCCAAGGAGUACAACAGCAUAAGGGGAGAGGCAAAAGCGUGAAACACAUUUAUAGGGGAGACCCACGAAAGUGAUAUCGGGGUACAGCAACUGAGUCUCAAAUGUUCCACAUAUUGCCUCAGGAGGCCGAACAUCUCAGGUUAUAACUAUUUAAACAGAUUUUGUGUAAUUAUAAUACUACAUAUUACUGUUGUAUAUUUUACUCUGUUACACAUAUAACUGCUGUAUAAUUGACUCUGUUACACAUACAUGCGCCAGUACAGGGAAAUAAACAAACAUGCUGGAUUAUU